AACGAACGCUGGCGGCAUGCCUAACACAUGCAAGUCGAACGAGACCUUCGGGUCUAGUGGCGCACGGGUGCGUAACGCGUGGGAAUCUGCCCUUGGGUUCGGAAUAACUCAGAGAAAUUUGAGCUAAUACCGGAUGAUGACGUAAGUCCAAAGAUUUAUCGCCCAAGGAUGAGCCCGCGUAAGAUUAGCUUGUUGGUAGGGUAAUGGCCUACCAAGGCGACGAUCUUUAGCUGGUCUGAGAGGAUGAUCAGCCACACUGGGACUGAGACACGGCCCAGACUCCUACGGGAGGCAGCAGUGGGGAAUAUUGGACAAUGGGCGAAAGCCUGAUCCAGCAAUGCGCGUGAGUGAUGAAGGCCUUAGGGUUGUAAAGCUCUUUUACCUAGGGAUGAUAAUGACAGUACCUGGAGAAUAAGCUCCGGCUAACUCCGUG
rnacentral:rRNA from 1 species